CUCCCUCGUUGCUGACCCCAGGUUCGAUAGUGCCAAUUAGACACUGCCUCGCCAAGAACCAACUUCGAUGAAGCGACGGGCGGUGUGUGCAAGG
rnacentral:rRNA from 1 species